GAGGGCGCGGGCGAGGGCAGCCGCGCGGGGCCGCUGAGGAAGCGGCGCUCGCAGCUGUCGAUCUUCUUCACCUGCUUCUGGGCCUCGCGGAACACCCGCAGGUACACGAAGGCCAUGAUGCACAGGGGCACGUAGAAGGAGACGACGGAAGAGGUGAUCGCGUAGCCCUCGUUGAUGAUGAAGUCGCAGCACUCGGGGUCGUUGUAGCAUCGGCUCGCCUUGGCGUCCUUGUCCCGCCACCACUGCAUGAAGAUGGGCAGGAAGGACACCAGCGCCGAGAUGGCCCACACGGUGCACACGAGGGCCCGCGCCCGCGCGCGGGUCAGCAGGCUCUGGUAGCGGAAGGGCGACGUGAUGGCGAGGUAGCGGUCCAGGGCGAUGACACACAGGGUCUCGAUGCUGGCCGUCACGCACAGCACGUCCACCGAGGUCCAGAGCUCGCAGAAGAAGGAGCCAUACUCCCAGCGGCCCCACACCACGAUUGUGGCUCCAAACGGCACUACCAGCAGACCCAUGACCAGGUCUGCGCUGGCCAGCGACAUGAUGAAGAGGGCAGCAGAUGCAGAAAGCAAAGGAAGGUUUGUGCAGCUGACAGCUAAUGCUGAGGACCAGUUGGAAAAAUACACACUCCCAGGUCCCAGCUGAUGGAUGUAAACCUCAGCUCCUCAACAUGGCCUUCAACGCCCUCCACAGUCCAGUUCCAAAGAGCCUUUCCAGCACUGUUUCGUACUAGAACUCUCCGUGUCACCCUAGCUUGCAGUUCUGUAAGUUAGUUUUUGAAUUUAUACUCUUUUCUGUUUUUGUCAUCUGUACUCUUUCUCACUGGAAUCUUUCCACCACGAAUCCCCUCCUCCAUCUCUGUCUUAUUGGAUUCAGCUUUCAAGAUCUGGCUGAUAUAUUUUUUACAUGACAGUCAUCCCUGCCCACUGUUUCUAGAAAUGAUCUCUCCUUCCUCUACUUAUAGUAGUUACUUUGCUAAUUGCAUUUCAAGUGUUAAUUAAAAGUAUGUUGCCUUUUGAUGUCCCUUAUAUUGUGAUUUAAUUUUUAUAACUUUAAAAUUUUUCUCUUUUCUUCUCAUAUGGAUUGUAAGCCCACUGAGAGUGAAAGCCAUCUUUAUAUUUUCCAUGUUUACUAAUAUUACUUAACAUUAAUUAGCAUUAAGCUUUGAUUCAUAGAGAUUCACUGUUUAAUUUAUUUAAAUAUUCUCAUAUUUACUAGUAUGAGAAAUAAUCAAGUGUUUUUGGAGUUAUGAUCCUUCUUCAUGCUUCAAGUUUAGAGUAAUAAUUCAUGCUCCUAUAGAUGGUUGGAUGGCAUCACUGACUCAAUGGAUAUGAGUCUGAGCAAACU
rnacentral:lncRNA from 1 species